AAAAACCUCCACAUAAACACCCUAAUUUUCAUAACUAAAGUGGAAAUUACCUUUUGAACCGGCUGAGUUACCGGCAGCAGGUCAAAUACUCUCGUCUAACCCGUGGCCUGCUAAAUUAGUAGGAAUUGACAAUCCAAUGUAUAUCCAGAAACGAAACGUAAGCUUGAAAGCUUUGCCUUGGAACUUUGAAUCAAAAGCACUCUAAGUGUACACGGAAACCUUUGACAGGACUCGGAAGAAAAAAAAUAAAACUGGAACUUGAUAUACCAAAUGCAGACCUU
rnacentral:lncRNA from 1 species